ensembl:snRNA U6 U6 spliceosomal RNA
GUGCUUUGGCAGCAUACAUACUAAACCUGGAAUGACACAGAGAAUCUUAGCAUGGUCCUUGUGCAAGGAUGGCACACAAAUGGUGAAUUAUUCGUAUUUUCA